rnacentral:lncRNA from 1 species
GACAAUUUCUAAUAUUUCAAUUUAUUGAGGCUUUCUUGCAGGUAAACAGGGCUUCCUGGUGCCAGUGGUUACAGCAUAGACAUUGGAGCAUCUGAGCUGGAAGAUGAAGGCCGAUUACAAUGAUAAGGGAAGAGCUGGAAGAGAUCAAAUAAGAUUGGAAAACUUGGCUAUGGUUCAACAACUGACUCUUCCAAACACUACAAGGCCACCUUGAUUGGAGGUUCUUAUCCACAGAUUCAUUGGAUGGGAACAAGCUUCAGCGAACAAUGCGAAAUGGAGAGGAGGAGUAAGAUGAAGGAAGAGAGCAGGGACCACCUAGUACUGGAUAAUUCAUCAAGAAAGAACAGAUCCUGGGAUAGAAGAAAAAAAGGAAGAAAAACACCAAAUCAACUCUGGGACUAUGUGAUCAAGAGAAACAUUGAGCAUAAAUUCACACACGAAAACAUUUUUAAAUGUUAACUGGAUGGUGAAAUGUGCCUCAAGCGGGAUUUUUGUGAUGCCAUUUGCUGUUCUUCACAUUUGAUUUUUUAUUUCUCUUCAUUUUUAAUUUAUUAAAACCUCCAGUUUCCGUGGAAGUAGAAGUAUUCUGCUUUGUCAUCACUCUUCCUUUUCUAAGACAGGCAGCCUAUUGUACAAAUCUCUAUGAUCUUCAGAAGAGGAAAAUGAAAACCAAGAAGGAGAAUAUGGGGAAGGCAGUGAGUGACUGUGAGAAUUUCCUUAACCAGGAAAAUUAUGGCUGAACAAGAAUUGUCAUCAAAGGCUCAGGGUUACUCUUGUGGAAUUGGCUCCUUUGCUUUGAAAUGUGCAUUUUUGUCUUGCAAAUUGAACAAGUACAAAAGAAUUCUCACUUAUCUUUCAAUUUGACAAGAAUUUUGGAAGAUAACUCUUGAACACUCCAAGCAACGUUGUCAACAGAGAAACAAAACUUUUUCUAAAUCUAAGUAUAUGCUGAAUUUUGUAUAUUGUAAUGCCAUUCUCACCCCCCUUUUAGAGCCAUUUUAUCUUACAAAACCAUUUUUUGUUACAACCUCCAGAGUGAAGCUUCUGGUUUCCAAGCCUAUCUCAUCCCUUCUCUUCUUCCAGCAGACAGGAUUAAUUAUAACUUCUUAUUCCUUCUUGAAGUAUGUAGUCCUUUUGUUUAGUGCUAUUUAACCCCACCUUGUAUUAUACAGUGGUGAGUCUAUUUUCUCUGCUAAAAUACAGAGCUUUUGAAAGCUUCCUUUUAUUUAACUUCAAAUUUUUUGCUACCUUUAAACUGAAUUGAAUGUCUGGCAUAGGUUGGGUAUACAAUUUUGCUACCUUUAAACUGAAUUAAAUGAUAGUUUCUAACUAUGUCUCUGGUCACUAUUUUUUUUUAGAUAUUUAUUUAUUUAUUUGAGAGGCAGAAUUCCAGACAGGGAGAGGGAAAGAUAGACAGAGAGGUCUUCCAUCUGCUGGUUUACUCUGCAAACAGCCACAAUGGCCGGAGCUUCCGUCUGCUGGUUUACUCUGUGAAUGGCCACAAUGACCAGAGCUGGGCUGAUCUGAAACCAGGAGCCAGGAGCUUCUUAUGAAUCUCCCACUCAGGGAGGUACAGGAGCCCAAGCACUUGGACCAUCUUCCACUGGUUUCCCAGGCCAUCAGCGGAGAGCUGUAUCAGAAGUGGAGCAGCCAGGACAUGAACAGGAGCUCAUAUGGGAUACCAGGGUGUAGGCAGAGGCUUAUCCUACUGUGCCAUAGCUUGGAACCCCUCUGAUCACUUUUAUAAAAUGAAAUGUAAGCACAGUACUAAGAUUACUUAGUUAUUUUACUUAGGAUGUUAAAGUUUUAAGUUUUCCUGUGUCCAAAACCACUCUGCUUAUUAAUGUAGAGACCACAUCAAAAGCUGCCCAAAAAGUUUUGUAGAAUUACUGAUUCCUUGACUUUGAACUAAAAGCAGCUUUUAAUGUCCAUACUUUUGUUAACAUCCCCUACUGUUACUGGUGAAUAGUUAAUUUUGGUAGCCACUGGUUACAGGCAAAGCAAAAUAAAGUAAUAAAGAUAAGUACA